rnacentral:rRNA from 1 species
GACAGUUCGGUCCCUAUCCGUCGCAGGCGUAGGAAAUUUGAGAAGACCUGUCCUUAGUACGAGAGGACCGGGAUGGACGUACCUCUGGUGUACCAGUUGUCCUGCCAAGGGCAUGGCUGGGUAGCUAUGUACGGAAUGGAUAAGCGCUGAAAGCAUCUAAGCGCGAAGCCAACUUCAAGAUAAGAUUUCCCACCGCAAGGGUAAGACCCCAGAAAGACUAUCUGGUUGAUAGGUCGAAGGUGUAAGUGCAGCAAUGUAUUUAGCUUAUCGAUACUAAUAGGUCGAGGACUUGACCAAUAUUUAUUUGAUGUUCAUUCAUUAAGAUAUAUGUGUAGUUUUUAGAGUGUUAACUUUUAAAAAUUAGUUUUACUAAUUUACAAUAAAAUAGGUGUGCUGGUGUGGCUCAACGGUAGAGCAGCUGACUUGUAAUCAGCAGGUUGUAGGUUCGAUUCCUAUCACCAGCUCCAGUAAAGACUAUGUUUUUAGCAUAGUCUUUUUUUAUUGUUUUUUAUUGUUUGAUGUAUUUGUUAUUUUGUAUUAAAUACUUUUAGUGGUCUAAUUUAUAAAUUAUAGGUAUAAAAGAUGACACAGUUUAAAAUUAUUGUUUUAAACUGUGUUUGUGAGUUUUAAAUCAAUCUACCAUGAAUCACCAUUCUGGCAUCAUCAAAUUCAUAUGUACAUGUAGAAAGUGUAACUAUUUUAUCAUUGCUAUUUACCUUAAUAGGAGAUUUAUACAAUGAUUUAGAAGUAAUAUCAUUUAUGUAAUUUUGAUAAUCAGAUUCAUUGUUAAAAUUUGUUUUUAGAUAAUCAUAAUCAGAUUCUACAAUAUAAGCAGAAAAAACAUCAUAUAAAAAUUCUUUUCCAUUCAAGGUUAUUUUUAUUUUAUUAUUUUUUUUAAAGAAGUCAGCAUCUUUAAACUUAUUUAGGUUGUUGAACAUAGUUUUAUUUUUCAUAUUAUGUCCAUAUAUUAUGAUAUUUUUGUCAUCAAUAGAUUUAUUUCUAUAAUCCAUAAACAGUGUACCAGAAAUAGAAUCUUUUUUAUAAAAAUCUUUGUCAAGAUAGUAAGAAUUAUCUUUAGAUUGUACAACUGGAUAAUUUAUAUUUGUAUUCUCAACAGAAAGCCAAAAUUUAAAAUCACUGUUAAUCUUUGAUAAAUCCUCUUUUUUAUAUUCUUUUUUUUGAAGUUCUGAGGAUAUUUUAGUAUCAUGAUUGUAUUUGGUAAGUUUUGAGUAUAUAUUAAAUCCACUGUAAAGUAUUACUAAUACUAGUAUAAUGUUAAUUACUAUUCUAUAUAAUUUUUUCAAUAUAUCACCUCGAGUUAAAUGUAGUUUAUAUAUCUAUAUUACACUAUUUUUGAAUAAAUUUAAAUUUUUAGUAUAAUAUUACUUUGACAUGUAAAAGAAUUUGUGUUAACAUAACUAAGUAAAAUAAAUAUUAAGUAAGCCAGAUAAUCG